rnacentral:lncRNA from 1 species
CAGGUGCUUUGGAAACAAGAGGUGAAAAUGAAAGUUGUGAGAGAUCUCUUUCCCUAUCAAUCACUAAAGAGCCUACUAUCAUCUUCUUUAAGAGAAAUCACUGAGAGCUGGGGAUGUCUGCGAGGCCCUGGGCUCCUAAUGAGUGGUUUCACAUAUAAGGGCAAUGGGUUCAGUUUUUGCCUUAUUGUUGGAGUCUCUGGCAACUGCACUUCCCUGUUAACCCUUGCUACGUUUCCAAGGUUUGAAGAACAAAAGUCACUCAAAAAUCAGYGCAGGGGAAAUCCAGCCUUUUGUUUUGGACUAUCUCCACCUUUCUGUGGCCUCUUUUGAUUACAUUUAUAUUCUACAGCAACCUCAUGGAUGUUGAUCUUUAAAGGUCUGUACUAAAACUACCAGCUUGAGCUGUUA